AACCUCUGCCUCCCGGGUUCAAGCAAUUAUCCCGCCUCAGCCUCCCAAGUAGCUGGGAUUUCAGGCCUUUAUCAUUCAGAUACUUUUUCUGUGCAACAUACACAGGGCUAUACCCCCCUCCAUUUUUGUUUCAAUCCCAACUGGCUUGUCUCUAAUAAAAAUACGAUCUCUUUUGGAGCUCCUUGUGUGUCAAUAAUAAUCCUAUCAACUUAUAAUUUAAUUUUAAUACAUUUAAAUUAGAACUUAUAAUUUAAUACAUUUAAAUUAGAAUUUUUUUCUGCCUCUUAAAAAGAAAUCCACCACAGAGACACUCCACAGCAUGCACACAUAAACCUAGACUUAGCAAUUUCUGUGACUACUUCUUGUGUUGUGCCUACAUCAACACUCCAGUGACCAUUCCUGGUCCAUACACUUACGUAUUCUCCUUUGAUUACAUCGCAUGGUCACUGCCGAAGUGGAAGAGCAUUUUAGAUGCUAAAAAUACUCUGCCGACUGCCUCUAGCAAAGCCUUUACUUUGAGUCAGCUCUCUUCCCUGAGGCAGGAAAAGGCCUGUUUCUCUACAAGG
rnacentral:lncRNA from 1 species